UUGCUUCAGCAGCAGAUAUCCUCAAAUGGGAACCAUGCACAGAUUAGCAUGGCUCCUGCACAAGGAUAACACACAAAUUUGUGAACCAUUUUCUACUUUU
ensembl:snRNA RNU6-930P RNA, U6 small nuclear 930, pseudogene